AAGUCGUAACAAGGUAACCGUAGGUGAACCUGCGGUUGGAUCAUUAACAAAAUCCAAUAAAAGAGCUAGGGGUACCAGCCUAGCUUUUUUAAACCACUGUGAACUGUUCAAUGUUGGUGCAAACCAGCAAUAUUUUACACAAGUCGUCUAUAAAAGUUUAUUUUAAAUUAAAAAACAACUUUUGGCAACGGAUCUCUAGGCUCUU
rnacentral:misc_RNA from 1 species